rnacentral:ncRNA from 1 species
AAAAUUAAUUAAUUAAUUUAAUUAUAUGGAUUAUUUUAAUAUUUUUUAUUCCAGUAAACAAUUUUAAUUAAUACUAUUGUUAUUUAUUUAGAAAUUUAAUUUAAAAUAGAUUAAAAUUUGUGCCAGCAUUCGCGGUUAUACAAUUUAUUUUAGUUAAUUUUAUAGGAAAUUAAUUUUUAAUUUUAAUUUUGGGAAAUAAUAUAUUUUUAUUUAGGUGGAAUUUAUAUAGAUAGAUAAAUUCCUUAAUUUUUUUUAAGAAAUUUCAUUUUUAAACUAGGAUUAGAUACCCUAUUAUUUGUUAUGUUUAUUUUAUCCUGAAUAGUAUUAGUUAUGUUCUUUUAAGCUCAAAAAAUAUGGCGGUAAAAUAUCUAUUUAGAGGAACCUGUAAAUUAAUUGACAAACCACGAUAAUUUGUACUUUAUAUUAUAUUUGUAUAUCUCUAUAUUUUGGAGUGUUUUGAUAAAAUAUUUUCUUUUACUAAUAAUAGUUAUAUGUUAGGUCAAGGUGCAGUUUUUUUAAAGUUUUUAUGGGUUACAUUUAAUAAUAAAUAUAUUUAAAAUUAAUUUUUAAUUAAAAAUUAUGAAUUGGGAUUUAAUAGUAAAUUGUAUUAAUUAAUAUUUUUGAAUUUUUUACUGUUUUAUGUACAUAUCGCCCGUCACUCCUAAAUUAAUUUAGGAUAAGUCGUAACAAAGUAAUUUUAUCGGAAGAUGAAGUUAGAAUUU